CUGGAAAGGCUGUUCUGUCAUCUCCAGCCUCAGUUUCCUUCUGUGAGUCGCACAGAAAUCUUCAGUUCAGGAAAACAUCCAAGCUGUGCUCCUCCCUCCUCAAUGCAGUGCUGUGCUUUCUACUGUAGAGGUCAGGUUUGCCUCGCCUCUGCUUGAAUAGGGGGAAAAAGAAGUUUGAAAUACAUUUUCAAUGAUUUAGAAGACACUGUUCCUCUGUAGCUCUGGGGCCUCUCUGAUCCCAGAAGACAGGCCUGAAGCUCCACCUUCAUGCUGGCUAAAAGCCAGAGUCCUCUCAAGGACGUCGGCAAAGACAUUUGUCUUCUUUUAGUCCCUGCUUCCAAAGCUGAACCUGCCCUUGGAUUUCCAAAGCCACCAGGGUGUUGUGGAAAACAACAGGCUUCCUCUUCACAGGGCCCACCCUCUUUUGCUGGUAGUGAGGAAGGAGUCUAAUGAAAACAGGAGGGAAAACCAGAUGGCGACAUAAAAACUUGGAAGACUUUUCUGCUAUGUCAGCAUCACAUGUUCUUUUGUUUAGGGUGGGAAUAGAUGCCCUGGUUGGGUGCAGCAUGAAAGAAAAUGAUGUCAUUUGGUUAGAGUAGGACCAUUUUUGGUACCUUGCCUUCUGUAUCAAAGGACUCUUGAGUAGGAAGUCAACUUCCAUUUAGAAAUGCUUUCCCUGUGCCCAUCCCCUACCCCUAGCCUGCCAUCACUGUGCAGAAGGGCCUCCUCCUUCUUACUAUCUACAAAGACAGAGAGCAGGAGUCUCUUAUUUACCUGUUUGCCCAGGGUAAAGCACAGGAUACCAUAUACCAUGAGUCUCAGCUAAAUACACAGCUUCCCAC
rnacentral:lncRNA from 1 species